AAGGGAGGCUCAUCCAGUUUACAGUCAUUCAAGGAAUUAUUCAUCUCUUCAUUAUUAUUAAUAUCCUUCUUCCUUAAUCAUGUGAAUAACAGUAUAUAUUAAUGUCCAAGAACCCAAAAUUGAACAGGAAUAUCUCUCUCUCUCUCUCUCUCUCUCUCUCUCUCUCUCUCUCUCUCUUUGUGUGUGUGACUUUACAAUAUUCUUUCUAACCCUGUCUCAUACAACUUCAUCUAAAGAUGUUUCUCCUGUAAACAAGAUAUUCAUUUAUAAAAUCUUGCUAGAAAUCUAAUAGUUGUGGAUUUAAUAUUUGUGCUCUUUCUUUCUUUAGAAAAAUAUGUACAAGCUUGAGAUAAUGAAUAACCUUCCCUGAUUUCUGCCACAUUAUUCACACUUACCACCUGUUGUGAGAUCUCUACUCUAUUAUCCAAUACAGGACUUUAGGUCUCUGUUCUAGAUGCCAAUACCAUUGGAUUGCAACUAUUGGGACCUAGAAAAAUGGGGUCAGUAAUGAGGCCCACUGAAGUUUCAUACAGGAACCAAUUCAUAUAUCAGAAAAUGUAUACUUUAGAAAUUAAGAAGACACUCCAAGACUAGUCUGUGCAGGUGAGACUGUGGACUACAGAAGCUAACAGCUUCCAGGACAGGCCCUGUUUCAGGCCUCCAUUUUCUGCCAGGAGGCAGGUCCGAACACCAGAUAUCUGUGCACCUUCACUGCAAGAAGAGAGCUUGCCUGCAGAGAGUGCUCUGACCACUGAAACUCAGGAGAGAGCUAGUCUCCCAGGUCUGCUGAUAGAGGCUAACAAAAUCAUGAGAGGAACAAGCUCUAACCAGAGAUAAUUAUAACAACUAACUCCAGAGAUUACCAGAUGGCAAAAGGCAAAUGUAAGAAUAUUACUAACAGAAAUCAAGACCACUCACCAUCAUCAGAACACAGCACUCCCAACUCAGCCAGUCCUGGAUACCCCAACAUACCUGAAAAGAUAGACCCGGAUUUAAAAGCAUAUCUCAUGAUGAUGGUAGAGGACAUCAAGAAGGACUUUAAUAACUCACUUAAAGAAAUACAAGAGAGCACUACUAAAGAGUUACAAGUCCUUAAAGUAAAACAGGAAAAUGCAAACAAAUAGGUAGAAGUCCUUACAGAAAAAGAGGAAAACAAACCAAACAGGUGAUGGAACUGAACAUAAUAGACCUAAAAAGGGAAGUAGACACAAUAAAGAAAACCCAAAGUGAGGCAAUGCUGGAGAUAGAAACCCUAGGAAAGAAAUCUUUAUCACAGAUGCAAAUAUCAGCAACAGAAUACAAGAGAUGAAAGAGAGAAUCUCAGGUGCAGAAGAUUCCAUAGAGAACAUCGGCACAACAAUCAAAAAAAAUGCAAAAUGCACAAAGAUCCUAAGUCAAAACAUCCAGGAAAUCUGGGACACAAUGAGAAGACCAAACUUCCGGAUAAUAGGAGUAGAUAAGAACGAAGAUUUUCAACUCAAAGGGCCAGCAAAUAUCUUCAACAAAAUUAUAGAAGAAACUUCCCAAACUUAAAGAGAUGCUCAUGAACAUACAAGAAGCCUACAGAACUCCAAAUAGACUGGACCAGAAAAGAAAUGCCUCCCAACACAUAAUAAUCAGACC
rnacentral:lncRNA from 1 species